AGGUAUUUUCAACCUCCCCGGCGUCGUAAACUGAUUAACCUUAAAUUAGGAAGAAGUGCGGGGCGAGGGUGGCGAGGCUUCCUGAGGUAUUUAUGAUCGGCGAACCUUAUUAACAUUACGCCCUCGUGGCCUGGCGCGGGCAAGUGCAACGGUACCAGAUAAUCACACUCAGCACAUUAUAUUUUCGUUUUCUGGCCAGUAAGUAUAUAAACAAAACAUCGAUACUUUUCGGUUUUAACACUAAGUUCAGAUGGAUAUCGCUAUUGAUGGGCCUAAGAUAGUUUUUGGGGCCGCCGCUGGAUAACGCGGGGAAGUUUUGUGUUGCAGGGGUUGUUUUUUUUGUUGGUAAGAGUGCUUGGUUCAGGUAUUCACGAGGGAAAGGUUGGUGCGGGAAGUGAAAGUCUUGGGAGAUCAUACGUCACUCGCCGGCCGUUACGCUACUGAUGAAGGGAAGGGAAAACUAUUACGGGGUUCGUUUUGAGCUCGGUAAUACAGCUAAAUGAUGGCUGCUGGGAGGCGGAAGGGAUUCGUUGCCCGUUAAUCCGCGAAAGGGAAAAAAUAUAUCAAAAGCUUUGUUUCCAUGGAACAGUUAUGUUACAACUGGAACUUUGGAGUGUGACGUGCUCAGCGUUUUGCAAUGAUCGGGAUCAUCGUAAACUGACCUUGUAACACACUGAAGAUCACCGAAAAGAACGAAUAUAAAACUGGCCACACCUUUCUCCAUUAGUGUAAUGGUUCACACCUUUCCUGCAAACAGUCGAUAUGUCAAGGGCACUAGGGGGGGGGGGGGGCCUGGCGCAAGAUAAACAUGGCACAGUUCAACAGAGAUGAUUAGCAGCAGCUCGCCGCGCCGCUUAAUGCAUGUCGUCUAGUGCGCCAUACUCCGCCGACCUGACGCGGCAAGGCAACACGCGCCUCCUCGGCCAGCAGCCCAGAAGAGUGCAUGGUCACCGCCGCCGCCAGGAUGCUGCCGCCGGACGCCUCGUCGACGCUCCUCCCGUGGCGCGUGAUGGUGCCCGUGAUGCAGGUGUACGGCUGCUUCCCCUACAGGAUGUCCGCCACGAGCGGACCGCCCGCCUUCUGCCUCCCGCUGUGCCUGUGGUCAGUCUUCUUGUUCCUCUUAAAGGCGGCCAUGAUGUGCGGGGGGCUGAGAACACUCUCACCGCUCUACGAGUCGCCUGAGGUGGGCCUCGUGGUGUACUCGGGCACCAUCAUGCUCAUGCUGCUCUUCACGUGUUUGACGCCCGUUGCCAUGGCUGCGAGGAGCCGCCAGUUGGCCCGGCUCCUGCAUGACCUGUCCAAGAUCACGGAAGUCUCUGCGCCGCCCACACACCGCUGGUACUGCAGGCCGCGGGCACAGUGCGUGGUGUUCUCAGCAGUCGUGUUCAUCACCUCCUCAGUAUUCUGCUCCUACGCCUUGGGCUUCACAUCUCUGGAAGUUGCAACCUUCACGCCCGUGUCCUUUCUCAACAGCAUAGCCUUCAUGUUGCCAGGAGAAGUGUCCUCCAUGGUGUUCGGCCUGCUGGGCCGUCGCCUGGUGGCCGCCACGGAGGCCACGGUGGCCUCGAUCUCCUUGCUCCUCGCCCCCGACGGAUCCUUCAAGAGUGAGAGCGGCCUGGAGGCGGCGAUGCGGGCGCUGCGUGACCUCGACGCUGUCAUCCGGGAGGUAAGAAGCGAGAGCCUUGCCUCGGCCUUGUUUGAGUCCAUUAGUCCUCCUAGCCGCCCUCCGACGGAGUGAAUCCUUCCCGCAGGUGGAGCUGCAGCGGGAGGUGGGGACUCGCUGCUUCUUCUCAGUCAUCAGCAUGGCGCUGCUGCUGGCACUCCUGAUGGCCGUCGCGUGCCCCUACGCCAUGCUGCAAGGCGUCUUCAUGAGCGGCAGCACGGCCAUCCUCUUGGGCGCCGGUUACUACAUCAUGGGCAGCUUCUGUCACCUGGGCCAGACCUUCGUCAACCAGGUGGGCACGCCUGGCAGGAGGCACUGCUUGUUGUAAACGUUCCGAUAGUUUCACGACAGCCUGCUGCAACGAUUCGUCUCACGUCACCUUGCCGGGCGAUGCCUUGCACAGACCCUGGACGCAGGCCUUGCUGCUCCUCCAGGUCCAGAUCGGUGGCCCUGGAUUCCAGGGUGCACAGCUUGCAGCUCUCGGCUCCCUCAGACUCACAAGUUUUUAUACGUAGUAAUUUAAAAAAAAAUCUGUCGCCUUCUAGUCCACUGCUGUUCUCGCAGCGACGGUCACUGUCCUUAUUGGCAAAAGGUUACUACUGUAGUUGGCAUACGUCACUAUCCGUUAGGUUCAGGUGGGUUCUCUUAGUUCACAAGAAUAUAUACAUUUUAGUUUUUGCACACAUCUCAAAACACGUGAUCGCGGGGUUCUGAUGAGUGCUGAUUUUAUUUCCACUCUCGGACUGUGGAAAAUUACCUCCUCACUGAACUGAGCGGGACAAGACGACGAAUCUUUGCCCAUCCUACGACUCUCUUGGCUUUAUUUCAGGUCAGCGAGGCCGAGGGACUCCUGAAGGACCUGAUAGUGAAAAGUCACAUUCUCAACUUUAACUUGAAGGUGAGCCAGGUGAUGGGGAGGCUGUCGCACAACCUUGCCUUCGACAUGUGUGGCUGGUACAGGCUGGACCACGCCGCCCUCCUUGGGGUAAGUGCCGCGCCCUCACGCACCCAUUCAUGUAUUCAUUAUUUCUCAAUGUGCUUCUACUCUGAACACUGUAUCAACCUGCUUGUUAUAAUGUGUUUGCUUCCAGCCUCCCGCCAUGCCUCAAACACGAGUUGUCGCCAGGGUCCUGUUAGUAUGUCAUUGCCGAAUAUAUUAAGCUUGAGACAUUUCUUCUCUGACACGGCGCCAAGAAAGACCGCCCCAAUAAUCAAUCUUCUGACAACUGCUACUCGUAUAUUCCCGCCUUGGCAAAUACUGACACAUAAACUGAUCAACAACUAUUACUUCGUCAUCUCAAGC